AGGGGGUGCCACACAGCGCAUGAAGCCAACCUUCCGCCUCCUUGUUAAUGGUUCCCCCUUCACUCCUUCACCCUACCUCUUUCGCAGUCAUCACUGCCAUCCAAAUAGCAUUUUGCCUCUUCUCACGCUUUUGUGUGCAUGCCGCGUAGGUCCCUCCUCCGUUCUCAGCACUCUCUCGCAGUGAUCCUGCGUCGUGUUUUGAUGGUGCGCCAUCGGUGUCUUCCUCUGCGCCUUGCCCUCCUCCAUUCGUUUUCAGGCUCUUACGCCUCGCUAUCCGUCCGGAAAGCGAAGCUGGCCACGCUCUUCUGUCCGGUUUGGGCCUUUCACCACAACGGCUCACCUUAACGUGUCUCCCCUCUUUGGCUGCUUUUUUUUUACAUAUAUCGCGGUGAAGUCUUGCCUUGGGCAGCGAAUGCAGCCGUCCACCCAUCGCGCUCUGCCGAUGCGAUCUCCUGUGCCUUUCACAGCCAGUCCGUGAGCAGCUGCCCGCCGUUUCAUGGAAGGACAGGAGACCUCCGCGCACCACUACUGCACCCGGCCCCUCUCUACCCUCUGCUCCCCUCGCAAGCACCUUCCUCAGCGAGCGACUCCAGCAUCCACUCUUCGGCGAUGACGUUCCUCGUCCAGACGGGGCCCCGACCCGAGCCGAGUUCGUCUGGUUGGACCCGAACGACAGCCCCCGUGCACGGGCUGGUGCAGCACAGCCGGCAUACCCUCUCUCUCAUGUUUGCAUAGAUCAUCCGACGACUGCACAGGUGGCAGGCCGUACCCCAUCCUCCCUGGGUCCAUCGGGGGGGGUCUAGGGAGGGGCGGCCUUCUCAUAUCGAAAUCCUUCACCUUAAGGAGGGAGGGGGGAUCGCCCCCACCUCCUCCGCCAAGCCCCGGGGGCGUUGACCCCGAGCGUUACAUGGGUACGCUCAGCGACGGGAUUCGCCGCAAGCAGAACAAGCUCCAUCGCGGCUCGCCUCACACCGGAGGACGACCUACAGACGCUCUUCCAGCCAUCCGCAGAAGCCCUCUGAGCGCCUCAGCAGGAACGGGCUAUCCCAGGCAGACGGCAAUGCUCUUCACCACGUGGCGCAGCGGCUUGUCGAGAAUCGGCCGCAUCGCCACGCGUCAACACGGCCAGCAAGCCGCAUGCCCAUCACAGAACCGCCCUUUGCCGGAUUCCUUCGAUGCUGCGCGGAGCGGGGCUGUGGUACCCGUGACCCCGACGUUGCCGCGGUCUGGUGGCGCUGUGGGUGGGCGGCAGCAACAAAGGGCAACGCGAGGCUGCUGCACACGGCACCUUCUCCUCAAGGGCGGCGAGACCUUUGCGAGCCGGAAGAUGAUGGCUUACCAGGUGAUGAAGGUGAAGCGUUUUCCAGCUAGGAGGAUGCACCAUGCAGGCUGCCUCCAGCAACCUAUCGACCGAAUACAACACCGCGUUCGCCCGGGACAUCAGCAGCCCGAACAACGAGGACAGCGUGCACGCCUUGAAGGCGGCGUUCGACUUCUUCGUGACGCAAGCGCGGCACGGACGGCGUUUCGUUCUCGGCGCCCCUCGGACCAAAGACGAGGCCCUUAGUGGACGGAAUAGCCGAAGCCUUCUGCGCUGAGCCGGAGGCCGCAGCGUGGACACGCGCUAGCCAGCACCGGUCGACCGAACGCGACGCCGUCAUCACGAAGCACGGAGGCCCUCACCUAAACAACAGCAACACAGGGGCGGAGGAGGAGGCCCAGGCGCGAGCACACUCAAGGCGGCAGAAACGGGAGAAAAAUGUGCCGCCAACGCCCUCGUGCGACUCUUGCCGCAAAAGCCCCUUCCGCACACACACACACACACAUAAAUAUGCGCGCCGUUGGAUCCGUCUGCCUCGCCAACUGAGGGGGAGGGGGGCCUCAUCGCGAACGGACGCUCCUCAACACGGCAUGACGGGCCGAAGGGGCUCUCCUCCCGCUGCGUCCAGCACGGCCGACGACGCAGUCCGGCUUGCUACCCUUUUCCCGCUACGUCGCACCUUUGAUGAAUCAUCGCCGUCUCCUCGCUGGGAAGACGGCCAGCAGCUGGGACGAAGUCUGCCGUCUGACCCCGUAGAGCUUCCUAAGCGUCUCCAGCGCC
rnacentral:misc_RNA from 1 species